UACGUAGGGGGCAAGCGUUGUCCGGAUUUAUUGGGCGUAAAGAGCGUGUAGGCGGCCAGACAGGUCCGUUGUGAAAACUCGAGGCUCAACCUCGAGACGCCGAUGGAAACCGUCUGGCUAGAGUCCGGAAGAGGAGAGUGGAAUUCCUGGUGUAGCGGUGAAAUGCGCAGAUAUCAGGAAGAACACCCGUGGCGAAGGCGGCUCUCUAGUACGGUACUGACGCUGAGACGCGAAAGCGUGGGGAGCGAACAGG
rnacentral:rRNA from 1 species